rnacentral:piRNA from 1 species
CAUACAUUGGAGCACGGAAAAGGAAU